AACGAACGCUGGCGGCAGGCUUAACACAUGCAAGUCGAGCGCCUCGCAAGGGGAGCGGCAGACGGGUGAGUGACGCGUGGGAAUCUACCGAGCCCUAAGGAAUAGCUCCGGGAAACUGGAAUUAAUACCUUAUACGCCCUUUUGGGGAAAGAUUUAUCGGGGUUUGAUGAGCCCGCGUUGGAUUAGCUAGUUGAUGGGGUAAAGGCCUACCAAGGCGACGAUCCAUAGCUGGUCUGAGAGGAUGAUCAGCCACAUUGGGACUGAGACACGGCCCAAACUCCUACGGGAGGCAGCAGUGGGGAAUAUUGGACAAUGGGCGCAAGCCUGAUCCAGCCAUGCCGCGUGAGUGAUGAAGGCCUUAGGGUUGUAAAGCUCUUUCACCGGUGAAGAUAAUGACGGUAACCGGAGAAGAAGCCCCGGCUAACUUCGUGCCAGCCGCCGCGGUAAUAC
rnacentral:rRNA from 1 species